rnacentral:rRNA from 1 species
ACCAAUCAGGGAUUGCCUCAGUACGGCGAGUGAAGCGGCAAAAGCUCAAUUUGAAAUCUAGCACCUUCGGUGUUCGAGUUGUAAUUUGAAGAUGGUAACCUUGGGUUUGGCUCUUGUCUAUGUUCCUUGGAACAGGACGUCAUAGAGGGUGAGAAUCCCGUCUGAUGAGAUGCCCAUUCCUAUGUAAGGUGCUAUCGAAGAGUCGAGUUGUUUGGGAAGGGAGCUCUAAGUGGGUGGUAAAUUCCAUCUAAAGCUAAAUAUUGGCGAGAGACCGAUAGCGAACAAGUACAGUGAUGGAAAGAUGAAAAGAACUUUGAAAAGAGAGUGAAAAAGUACGUGAAAUUGUUGAAAGGGAAGGGCAUUAGAUCAGACUUGGUGUUUUACGAUUAUCUUCUCUUCUUGAGUUGUGCACUCGUAUUUCACUGGGCCAGCAUCGAUUCGGAUGGCAAGAUAAUGGCAGUUGAAUGUGGCUUCACUUCGGUGGAGUGUUAUAGCUUCUGCUGAUAUUGCCUGUCUGGAUCGAGGGCUGCGUCUUUUGACUAGGAUGCUGGCGUAAUGAUCUAAUGCCGCCCGUCUGAAAAACCGGGACCA